AUGUUUUCAGUGGGAGAAACGUUUCGUCACUCGGUGACUUCUUCAGUCUCAGCUGACUGCAGCUUUCCUCGACCUUAUAAACUGUACAUUUGCAUAAUAACCAACCAAACCAGCACCAUUGAAUUAACAAUGGAACCACUACUGAUCAAAGCCCAUUGACUCCAAACACCACAUCUCAGUAGCUUUUACUCCCCAAAACUCACUAAUUUCUUUGUUUCAGUAUAUUGAUUGUUGCAAAACAUUUUUUGAUGACUUCUUCAUGUUUUUUACAAAGAGGACUUUAACCAUUAGGGGGAAAAACAUUAUCAGAGCACAGAUAUGGUGGGAUUUAACAUCUUGAUGUCUGAGUCCAUGUUUCUCAACUGAAAAACAAGCUAGUGUUACCUGACACAUUUUUUUCCAAACCACACCCAGGCCACAUAUUUCACAGGCAGAACUGGAGUUUUAUUUACUUUCACUUUAGCCAUCUUGGUGUGAGGACACAACUGACUUCAGCAGGUAAGUAAUACCUAGAUACCUAAAUGCCUUCACCGAAAGAAAACAAGGGAAACUACUGACGUAAAUACAAUUUUCAAUGUGAGGGAAUAAGUGGAUUUUUGUUUUGUUUGAUCUCAGCUGACACUUCAGAUUACUUCUAGCAUUUUUGUGAAAUUCUUAUAUGAUUACAUACUUUUAUAGAGAACAUGUCAUUCCACCUCCAGAACCAGAUGCUUCAUGACAUUCAGUCACUACUGGUUACAACAGGUAACCUUCUGUGUAAUCAUAAAUUAUAUACUUGUGAGUUUUCAGUUAUUUUGUUUGUAUUUAUUGUCCUGGUCCUGGGUCUGUGGCCCAGUGAGUUGCAUUGUUUAUUAUUUAUUUCCCUCAUGUUAUUGCUGUCUGUAUUUCUAGGUCCUAGUUUUGAUCCCUUUGCUCCUCAUGUUAUUCUGUGCUCCCUCUGUUCUGUGUCUACUCAUCCCUGCCUGUGUGUUCCAGUGUAGUCAGGUCUCUGUGUAAAGCUUGUGUCUCUGAGUCUGUGUGUGUUGAGUUUCCUGUUUUAUUGUGAAGGUCUGUGUCUCAUGUAUUCUGUUUUACUUCCUUGUCUCGUCUUGCCCAAUCAGUUCCAGCUGUGUUGCCACCUGUUCCUCAUUCCUUCGUGUUUCUGCUUGUGUAUUUGUAGUGCAGUCAUCUCGUUCUCAUCGCUGGUCCGUCUGCGAUGUCUCCUGGAGUCUCCCUGUGUUUCCUCUGUUUAGGUUCCCCUUAGUUUCUGUGUAUGCCAUUCUCCGCUCCUGCUGUAUCCUGCGCACCUUAAAUAAAGCUCACUUGCAUCAUAGGCCGUGCUUCCAUUUUGGGUCCUCGAUCAUAACUCCACACGUCUGCCGCCGUGACAUUUGCACAGCUCUACUUUAAUUCAUACCAUUUGAACUGUCAAGUUAAUCUUGGUGUAAGGAGACAUUGGAGACAUCAGCAGGUCAACCAGUCUAUGGUGUUUUCAGCAGAGUGACAUCAUGGCCUUUUCAGAAUCUGCACAUGAACUCAGAAUAAUGCUGUUUGGAAAAAAUGAUGACAAGAAAUCAGCCCUGGAAAACAUCAUCACUGGAAAGAAAAGAUCCAUUGUGUCUAAAGUUCUUGAAAGAAGGCAAUGUCACGAUGCCUCUGGAGAGUGGAACGGGAAACCGUUAACAGUAGUCAAAACUCCUGACAUCUUCAGUCUGUCUGUUGAUAAAUUGUUAGAAGUGAUGAAGAGCUGUGUGAGUCUCUGUCCUCCUGGACCAAAUGUUCUGCUGCUGUUAGUGAAACCUUCUGAUUUCUCUGAAGAGGACAGAAAAAAUCUGAACUUGGUCCUCAGUGUGUUUGGUCAAGAUGCAUUUAAGCACUCCAUGGUCAUCCUGACACAUAAUGAGAGAAAGAGUGACUCAGUGGAAGACUCAUCAAACACUGUGAUCACAGGCAGGAAUAUAUCAGUUAUUUUGACAAGGAA